GAUGAACGCUGGCGGCGUGCCUAAUACAUGCAAGUCGAGCGAACGGACGAGAAGCUUGCUUCUCUGAUGUUAGCGGCGGACGGGUGAGUAACACGUGGAUAACCUACCUAUAAGACUGGGAUAACUUCGGGAAACCGGAGCUAAUACCGGAUAAUAUUUUGAACCGCAUGGUUCAAAAGUGAAAGACGGUCUUGCUGUCACUUAUAGAUGGAUCCGCGCUGCAUUAGCUAGUUGGUAAGGUAACGGCUUACCAAGGCAACGAUGCAUAGCCGACCUGAGAGGGUGAUCGGCCACACUGGAACUGAGACACGGUCCAGACUCCUACGGGAGGCAGCAGUAGGGAAUCUUCCGCAAUGGGCGAAAGCCUGACGGAGCAACGUCGCGUGAGUGAUGAAGGUCUUCGGACCGUAAAACUCUGUUAUUAGGGAAGAACAUAUGUGUAAGUAACUGUGCACAUCUUGACGGUACCUAAUCAGAAAGCCACGGCUAACUACGUG
rnacentral:rRNA from 1 species